rnacentral:sRNA from 1 species
GUGACCACGCGUACACGCCGGCUCCUCUGCGCCCUCCAUGCCCAGCUGACGACUGCCCGCGACGUUUGCCAGCC